CCGCCGCCUCCGCCUCCGCCGCCACAUGGUCACGGGCCUCCACCACCGGGCCAGCACGUGCCGCCUCCACCGCCGCACGGCCACGGGCCUCCACUACCGGGCCAGCAUAUGCCGCCGCCACACGGCCACGGGCCUCCACCACCAGGACAGCACAUGCCGCCUCCGCCGCCACGCCACCACGGACCUCCGCCACCGGGACAGCAUGUGCCGCCGCCGCCACCACCACACGGCCACGGACCUCCGCCACCGGGACAGCAUGUGCCACCGCCUCCGCCACCACACGGCCACGGACCUCCGCCACCGGGACAGCAUGUGCCGCCUCCACGCGGCCACGGGCCUCCACCCCCGCACCAGCAGGCACCACCUCCACCGCCGCCUCCUGAACCUGUGGCAGGUCCCGGGGAGCUGAUGGGACUGUGCCGGGAGGGGCGGGUGAAGGACGCCGUGGAGCUUC
rnacentral:lncRNA from 1 species